rnacentral:rRNA from 1 species
UACGUAGGGUGCGAGCGUUGUCCGGAAUCACUGGGCGUAAAGGGCGCGUAGGCGGCUCAUGAAGGCUGUGGUGAAAGUCCGGGGCUCAACCUCGGAUCGGCCGUGGCGACUCGUGGGCUGGAGCACUGUAGAGGCGGGUGGAAUUCCGGGUGUAGCGGUGGAAUGCGUAGAGAUCCGGAAGAACACCAGUGGCGAAGGCGGCCCGCUGGGCAGUGGCUGACGCUGAAGCGCGACAGCGUGGGGAGCAAACAGG